rnacentral:misc_RNA from 1 species
UUAAAAUUUCUUUGGUCUAUCAGACAAUUAUAUGCGUUAAUAUCGGCGCAAGCAGCGCAAGCAGCGCGCUCACGCCAAGCAUAAUCCGUUCACGUGUAUGAAUAAUCUCAAUAAUGAUCCUUCCGCAGGUUCACCUACGGAAA